rnacentral:rRNA from 1 species
AUUGAACGCUGGCGGCAUGCCUUACACAUGCAAGUCGAACGGUAACAGGUCUUCGGAUGCUGACGAGUGGCGAACGGGUGAGUAAUACAUCGGAACGUGCCCGAGAGUGGGGGAUAACGAGGCGAAAGCUUUGCUAAUACCGCAUACGAUCUCAGGAUGAAAGCAGGGGACCGCAAGGCCUUGCGCUCACGGAGCGGCCGAUGGCAGAUUAGGUAGUUGGUGGGAUAAAAGCUUACCAAGCCGACGAUCUGUAGCUGGUCUGAGAGGACGACCAGCCACACUGGGACGGAGACACGGCCCAGACUCCUACGGGAGGCAGCAGUGGGGAAUUUUGGACAAUGGGCGCAAGCCUGAUCCAGCCAUGCCGCGUGCAGGAUGAUGGCCUUCGGGUUGUAAACUGCUUUUGUACGGAACGAAAAGACUCUGGUUAAUACCUGGGGUCCAUGACGGUACCGUAAGAAUAAGCACCGGCUAACUACGUGCCAGCCGCCGCGGUAAUAC